rnacentral:siRNA from 1 species
CAACCAAAACAUUCCGGACACCU